UACGUAGGGUGCAGGCGUUAAUCGGAAUUACUGGGCGUAAAGCGUGCGCAGGCGGUCUUUUAAGUCAGAUGUGAAAUCCCCUGGCUUAACCUGGGAACUGCGUUUGAAACUGGAAGGCUUGAGUGUGGCAGAGGGGGGUGGAAUUCCACGUGUAGCAGUGAAAUGCGUAGAGAUGUGGAGGAACACCGAUGGCGAAGGCAGCCCCCUGGGCUAACACUGACGCUCAUGCACGAAAGCGUGGGGAGCAAACAGG
rnacentral:rRNA from 1 species